UACGUAGGGGGCAAGCGUUGUCCGGAUUUAUUGGGCGUAAAGAGCGUGUAGGCGGCCAGGUAGGUCCGAUGUGAAAACUCGAGGCUCAACCUCGAGAUGUCGGCGGAAACCAUCUGGCUAGAGUCCGGAAGAGGAGAGUGGAAUUCCUGGUGUAGCGGUGAAAUGCGCAGAUAUCAGGAAGAACACCCGUGGCGAAGGCGGCUCUCUGGGACGGUACUGACGCUGAGACGCGAAAGCGUGGGGAGCGAACAGG
rnacentral:rRNA from 1 species